UACAGAGGUCUCAAGCGUUGUUCGGAUUCAUUGGGCGUAAAGGGUGCGUAGGUGGCGUCGUAAGUCAGGUGUGAAAUCUCGGGGCUCAACUCCGGAACUGCAUUGGAUACUGCCUUGCUUGAGUACUGGAGAGGAGACUGGAAUUUACGGUGUAGCAGUGAAAUGCGUAGAGAUCGUAAGGAAGACCAGUGGCGAAGGCGAGUCUCUGGACAGUUACUGACGCUGAGGCACGAAGGCCAGGGGAGCAAACAGG
rnacentral:rRNA from 1 species